rnacentral:rRNA from 1 species
UACGUAGGUGGCAAGCGUUGUCCGGAAUUAUUGGGCGUAAAGCGCGCGCAGGCGGUCCUUUAAGUCUGAUGUGAAAGCCCACGGCUCAACCGUGGAGGGUCAUUGGAAACUGGGGGGACUUGAGUACAGAAGAGAAGAGUGGAAUUCCACGUGUAGCGGUGAAAUGCGUAGAGAUGUGGAGGAACACCAGUGGCGAAGGCGACUCUUUGGUCUGUAACUGACGCUGAGGCGCGAAAAGCGUGGGGGAGCAAAACAGG